rnacentral:rRNA from 1 species
ACUCCUACGGGAGGCAGCAGUGGGGAAUAUUGGACAAUGGGGGCAACCCUGAUCCAGCAAUGCCGCGUGAGUGAUGAAGGCCUUCGGGUUGUAAAGCUCUUUUGCCAGGGACGAUGAUGACGGUACCUGGAGAAUAAGCCCCGGCUAACUUCGUGCCAGCAGCCGCGGUAAUACGAAGGGGGCAAGCGUUGUUCGGAAUUACUGGGCGUAAAGGGCGCGCAGGCGGCGCGAGAAGUCAGGCGUGAAAGCCCCGGGCUUAACCCGGGAAUAGCGCUUGAUACUGUUGGGCUUGAGUCCGGGAGAGGAUAGUGGAAUUCCCAGUGUAGAGGUGAAAUUCGUAGAUAUUGGGAAGAACACCAGUGGCGAAGGCGGCUAUCUGGACCGGAACUGACGCUGAGGCGCGAAAGCGUGGGGAGCAAACAGGAUUAGAUACCCUGGUAGUCCACGCCGUAAACGAUGAGUGCUAGACGUUGGAGAGCUUGCUCUUCAGUGUCGUAGCUAACGCGAUAAGCACUCCGCCUGGGGAGUACGGCCGCAAGGUUAAAACUUAAAGGAAUUGACG